UUUCAAUUUAAGCACAUAUACUAAAAGUGGAAUGAUACAUAGAAGAUUAGCUUGGCUCCUGCGCAAGGAUGGCAUGCAAAUUCAUGAAGCGUUUCAUAUCUUU